rnacentral:rRNA from 1 species
GACGGAGGGUGCAAACGUUGUUCGGAAUCACUGGGCAUAAAGAGCACGUAGGCUGCGCGCUAAGUCAGGUGUGAAAUCCCCCGGCUCAACCGGGGAACUGCACCUGAUACUGGCGUGCUCGAGGACGGUAGGGGUGAGUGGAACUCCAGGUGGAGCGGUGAAAUGCGUAGAUAUCUGGAGGAACACCGGUGGCGAAAGCGGCUCACUGGACCGUCUCUGACGCUGAGGUGCGAAAGCUAGGGUAGCAAAC